CUGACCAUAUCUUAAUGAAACCUUGUCAGAAUGUUAAUUUUGAUGAUCUUAGAUCAAUAGGUCAGGCGAGCGAUACAGGGCCUUCAUGGCCCUCUUGUUUAGCGCAAGAUAUUCGCCCUUACAGCACAGUUCAAAGUUGUGGUUUCAUAAACAUGGUGAAUAUAUUGGAGCCAAGGUAUAAACUUCCAAGUCGUACACACUUUAGUGAAACUGUCAUGCCAGCACUCUGGAAAACCGUUGUAGAUCGGGUGAAAAGGCAACUUCAAAAUGCUGACAGCAUUGCUAUCACAACAGAUUCAUGGACUUCGAGAGCAACAGAGAAUUAUGUAGCUGUUACAGCCCAUUUUAUCAAUAAAGACUGGCAAGUUGAAAACUACAGCCUUGAAACAAAACUAUUCGGUGAAUCUCAUACAUCUGCAAAUUUGGCCAAUGGUCUGAAGGAGACAGUUACCCACUGGCAACUUGAACGCAAUGGCAAGGAUCCUGCCAUUACCACUGACAAUGCUAGUAACAUCGUUCAGGCAGUUAAGGAAUCGGGUUUGGGUCCACAUAUUGGAUGUUUCGCUCACACCAUAAACCUGGCAACACAACGUGGGCUGAAAGUUCCACAAGUAGAUAGACUUUUGGGUAGGGUGCGGCGUGUGGUAACAUAUUUUCAUAAAAGUACAUCAGCCAUAGCCUGCCUCAAGCUAAUGCAGACAAGACUUGAUGUUGCUCAGCACAAAUUGCUGCUUGAUGUUCCAACCAGGUGGAAUUCUAGUUUUGAUAUGUGUGUGAACGAUAUUUAGAGCAACAAGCACCUGUAUAUGCUGCAGUGAUUGAACUGAAAAAAAGUCAGUGAUGUAGUAACAUUAUCAGAAGGUGAUGUACAGAACAUUGAAGAAUUAGUACAAAUUCUGAGACCACUGAAGACUGUUACAACCAUGAUGUGUAGCCAGCCGACAGUGUCACUUAUACACCCUCUGAAAGAAAUGCUUCUCAAACAUCUUGAGGUCUCACCCUCUGACAACACACUGGUGUCAGAUAUCAAGACAGCAAUCAGCUCUGACCUCAAGCCAAGGUACACUGGCGAAAGUAUUCUGGGGUUCCUUUUGCAGACUUCAGCCCUUGAUCCGCGGUUUAAGAGCCUACCUGGAUGUUGCUUCCCGAUGUGAUGUGUACGACAGUAUCAAAAUAGCAGUGAAUGAUUCUACCAUUCAGAAUGUGACUGUGAAAGAGGAACCUGAGGACAGUGAUCACGAAAUGCCUUCUACUAGCGAGCCUCCUGGUCCCUGCCUUACCGGCACUGGAGGAAGGUGAACCCCCUGUGAAAAUAAAAAAGGAAGUUAUAAUUUAUGAACGUACAUCAAGUGGUGGUCUGACUUGUUUGGUGAUGUUUUUAUGCCCCCAAAGGGAGGCAUAUAGUUUUUGAACCGUCUGUCCGUCCGUCGGUUUGUCGGUCUGUCCGCAAUUUUCGUG
rnacentral:lncRNA from 1 species